rnacentral:lncRNA from 1 species
GGGCGCUUUUGUGGGGACGGGACGGGUCCGUGCCGCGCGGCGCAUCCUAUCCUCCCCUAAGUCUGGGACGACGGACGGGGCGAAUCGGCCCCGCGCCGGGCUUGCGGGCUCGGCCCGGGCCGACGCUCUGACAGGCGGUGGCGGUUCUUAACGGCUGAGCCCGAGAACCCCGACGGAGCGCUCCACGCCAGGCACCGGGUCCGGCCCCGCCGCUCCGCGGCCACCCGCCGCGCUGUGCCGUGGGACCGCCCGGCGCUCGGAGCGGGUCUCGGCGGUGCGGGCGGCGAGGGCGGUCUGGAGACGCGGUCCCACCCGGUGCAGGGUGGGAACGAGGCGGGCGGAUUUACAGUGGGUCUGAGGCUCCCCCGGCCCUUCCGCUCUGCUCUCCGUUCGCCGCCGGACGGAUCCCGGCGUCCCGCUCCGUCGGGGGCAGCGGCACUGAACACCCGCCGGGCCGGGGGUACCCGGGUUCCCGCCGGGAACGCCCCAGGACAGGGGUUACAAUCCCCCGGGCUGCGCUGCACAAAAGCCCCCGGAGCGCGGGACUGAUGCGUCUGCGGACUGAGUGCCGACGGGCGCUUCUUCGCGCAGUUCCAGAGCCGGUGGAAAGCGAGAGAACUACAGUGAGGGUUCUGCGGCUCUGCCCUUCCUUGCUGUGCGUCCCGCGGGAGUCCCUGUGCCAAAGCAGAGUACUUAUUGCUGCUCCUGACACCUGUGCUGUGCUCCUACCUGCGAAGAGGUGGUCCCCGGAAUGUGCAGCACAUCCAGAGCAAGGAGUUCAACAGAGCCAGUGCCAGCCAGCAUUCAUACAGUGCAGGGAGCUAAGGGGAAGUCAGAGGCAUCAAGAGAAGUAUCCAUGAGCAGAGCUGUUGGUGGAAAUGUGGAGCUGUUUAAUUACCCCAGGGUCAGAUGCAGUCCCAGCUGCAGCGGAGGCCAGCAGCAGACCAGCGUGGGAGUGAAGAAUCAUGGAUUACAGUGCUGUAAUUAAGCACUCUGAUCACCCUGGGACU